rnacentral:tRNA from 1 species
GCCCACCUAGCUCAGUCGGUAGAGCACACCCUUGGUAAGGGUGAGGUCGCAGGUUCGAUUCCUGUGGUGGGCACCA